rnacentral:tRNA from 1 species
AGUUAUAAAGCUUUAGACAAGCAUAUACUUUGAAAGUAUAAGACAAGAGUUAAAUUCUCUUAAUAACUU